AAACUCUCAAGCGUGGCUUGGUAUUGGGUGCUCGCUCCUCCGGGUUUGGGGGAGCGCGCCCGAAAUUCAGUGGCGGUCUGGGGAGACUUCAAGCGCAGUUAAUACUCAUUCGCUUUCGGAGCUUUCGACCUGUGGCCCAGCCAGCAACAUGCCUUAAUUCUAAGAAUUGACCUCGGAUCAGGUAGGGAUACCCGCUGAACUUAAGCAUAUCAAUAAGCGGAGGAAAAGAAACCAACCGGGAUUGCCUCAGUAACGGCGAGUGAAGCGGCAACAGCUCAAAUUUGAAAUCUGACCCCGUCGGGGUUCGAGUUGUAAUUUGUAGAGGAUGUUUCGGGCGCGAAGCCGGUCUAAGUCCCUUGGAACGGGGCGUCGUAGAGGGUGAGAAUCCCGUAUGUGACCGGCGAUCAAGCCUCUGUGAAACUCCUUCGACGAGUCGAGUUGUUUGGGAAUGCAGCUCAAAAUGGGUGGUAAAUUUCAUCUAAAGCUAAAUAUUGGCCAGAGACCGAUAGCGCACAAGUAGAGUGAUCGAAAGAUGAAAAGCACUUUGGAAAGAGAGUCAAAAAGUACGUGAAAUUGUUGAAAGGGAAGCGCUUGCAACCAGACCUGCCCGCGGGCGAUCAGCCGUCCCUUCCGGGGGCGGUGCACGCGCCCGCGAUCAGGCCAGCAUCGGUUCGGGCGGCCGGAUAAAGGCCCGGGGAACGUAGCUCCUCUCGGGGAGUGUUAUAGCCCCGGGUGCAAUGCGACCCGCCUGGACCGAGGACCGCGCUUCGGCUAGGAUGCUGGCGUAAUGGUUGUAAGCGGCCCGUCUUGAAACACGGACCAAGGAGUCUAACAUCCAUGCGAG
rnacentral:rRNA from 1 species